GUAUAGCGGGAACGUUCAGCGGAGCGGGAACGUUCAGUAGAGCGGGAACGUUCAGUGGAGCGGGAACGUUCAGUAGAGCGGGAACGUUCGUAGGGAGCGGGAACGUUCAGUAUAGCGGGAACGUUCAGUAUAGCGGGAACGUUCAGUGGAGCGGGAACGUUCAGUAUAGCGGGAACGUUCAGUAUAGUGGGAACGUUCAGUGGAGCGGGAACGUUCAGUAUAGCGGGAACGUUCAGCGGAGCGGGAACGUUCAGUAUAGCGGGAACGUUCAGUGGAGCGGGAACGUUCAGUAUAGCGGGAACGUUCAGUAUAGCGGGAACGUUCAGCGGAGCGGGAACGUUCAGUGGAGCGGGAACGUUCAGUGGAGGGAACGUUCAGCGGAGCGGGAACGUUCAGUGGAGCGGGAACGUUCAGCGGAGCGGGAACGUUCAGUGGAGCGGGAACGUACACUAGGCUCGUGUCAAGUUGCGUCCGGUGGUAUCAGGCGUCGGUAUCUGAGCGCAGUGAGACACGCGUGGUGUAGGACCCAUAACGGAUCUCGGUACCGGUACCGAUGCGUCCCUGACGCUGAUACGAGCGCUGUCCCGUAAACAAGGGACGACACGGUGACGCCGUCGUUACAUGCCCACUCGAGGAUGCUUUUAUUUGAGAAUUUCAGGUCAGCGCUCGUUUCCUUCACGCCGUCGGCCUCAACAGCGAAUUGUGAAUUUCUUACGAGCGCAAUCUUUUUGUGAAUUCAAGAACGAACUGUUAUUUUUCUACCGAAGUAAAUCAGAUAUUCUAUACACCACCAUGCAAACGUCGUAGAGAUUUUACCGAGGCGUAUCGCGUCGUGUAUCGAGCUGUCCUCGUUCGCGCUCGUGCGUGGUUUUUCUGUUUAGUUUCGUUUUGUUUUGUUCGUAGCGGAAGUGCACAGGGGACGACACCGGCCCCUCGAUCAGGACAAACGAGCCUCCGUCGUUUUGUACUCGAUAUGAAGUGGAUUCUUCUGAACCGAACGGAAUCACUGGGACGCGAACGCACGCCAAGUCGUGUCGCUGGUCAGAGUUUAUGUUUAUGGAUUUUUUAAGUUUGUUUCUAAUGUUCGUUUAAAGCAUUAGCGCGACGGUGUAGAAGCGGUUUGCUCACACGGUUUGUUUUUUUUGUUGUUGUUUUUUUUAUAUGAAUAAGCUUUAGGACUAAUGCGUUGAUUCCCAAAUCCCAAGUGUACAGGAUGCACAUGUUUUGGAAAGAAAAAGAGAAGAAAUAUUCCCAGUUUAUUUGCUAUAGCCUGUUGAUUUAGAUUCGCCUCGGAUCAUGGGGGUCGAUGGGAAUUGUAGUCUUUGCUGCUAACUGGAUUCGUGAUAUUUUUGUCCGUGUUGAUUUGACGAUUCAUUGAUGAAAUUGUACUCGGACAUGGAUUGGUCAACUUUGUUAUCGAAGCAUCGGUCAUAAUCUUAAACCGGGUUACAAAAGCAUUUUGUAAGAAGUUGUUUCAGAGAUUACAAGUUAGUCAUUUGUAUUUAAAAAAAAAAAGAAAAAAAAAAAAAAGAUAUAAACGAAAGAAGAAAAAAAAAAAAUCAAACUCUACUUAUCGGCCAUUUUGUGGCUCUUCACCUUUGAUCACUUUACUACUUCAAGCCACCCUGCCAGAUUUCUAGUCUUUUUACUAAAGGACGGUUUUUCAGCUGAAGCUUUGGAAAGCUGGGACACUACUUUAUUAUCUGGGAGGGGAUUAUAUCAGGACUGACACACACACAAAAAAAAAAAAACCUUGAAAAAAUAAAAAAAAGAGGGGGCGGGGGAUUUGGGGCCACACCCACACCCAGCCUUAAAAGUGCCAGAGGCCUCAAAGCCCCUCGCGUAUAUCAUAUAUUACUUACGGGGAAAUGUUUUUAUUUUGUCCACUAGCGUUUGAUAAGCACUCACUACGAAUACGAACGGGUUUAAGGCGUGCACACAGUCCAAAAAAAUAACAAAAAUGAUGAUUUAAAAAAAAAAAAAAUUCAAAAAUACUGACGCGCUUACUUUCUAUGUAUAGUAUCUGUAAUGAGAUGUACAAACUUUAUGAGAUCAUCAUAUUUGGAGAGAAACACGACUCUUUUUUUUUUUUUUUUUGUGGGACGGAUACGGAUCAUGC
ensembl:lncRNA